UACAGAGGUGCCGAGCGUUAGGCGGAAUCACUGGGCUUAAAGCGUGUGUAGGCGGAUGCCUAAGUACCUUGUGAAAUCCCACAGCUCAACUGUGGAACUGCUUGGUAUACUGGGUGUCUUGAGCCACUUAGGGGUUACCGGAACAAAUGGUGGAGCGGUGAAAUGCGUAGAUAUCAUUUGGAACGCCAAUGGUGAAAACAGGUAACUGGGAGUGUGCUGACGCUGAGACACGAAAGCCAGGGGAGCGAACGGG
rnacentral:rRNA from 1 species